rnacentral:rRNA from 1 species
AUGGAGCACUUCACGCUGCCAUACAACUACCACUUCGGCUUAUGCUUGUUCUUGGCUCUCCUCCUCCAUGCCGUCCUACGCGCCAAGAAGCCUCGCCCGAGGCUGCCUCCCGGCCCGUGGCAGCUUCCGGUCACCGGCAGCCUGCACCACCUGCUGCGCGGGCUCCCACACCGCACCAUGCGCGACCUCUCCCUCCGCCACGGCCCGCUCAUGCUGCUCCGGGUGUGCGAGCGCGUGGCCAUCGUUGUCUCCUCCGCCAAGGCCGCGAGGGAGAUCUACAGGGGCAACGAGGCCGCCUUCUCGGAGCGGCUAAGCAGCCCGGGCAUCGACGAGCUCUGCAGGCAUGGCCAGGGGAUCGUCUUCGCGCCCUACGGCGACCACUGGCGCCUGCUCCGACGGAUCCUCAUGACAGAGCUGCUCAGCGCGCGGCGCGUCGAGGCGUUCCGACGGAUCUGCGAGGAGGAGGCGGCCCGCCUCGUCUCGUCGCUUCGGGCGACGUCCGACGGCCGGCUCGUGAACAUCGACGAGCGGCUCGACGAGUUCAUGACAGACUCGGCCGUGCGCGCCAUCUUCGGGGACAGGCUGCCCGAUAGAGCCGCAUUCCUGAAGAUCGUCAAGCAAGGAGUGGGCCUGUCGUCGCUGUUCGACCUCCGGGACCUCUUCCCUUCGUCGCGGUUAGCUCGGCUUCUGCCGCGCAGCGGCAGGGCGGAGCGGCAGCGUCAAGACACGUUCAGGCUCAUGGACAACAUCCUUAAGACCCAGGAGGAGAGGAGGAUGGGUAGAGAUGGAGAUGACGAACAGGACAUGGUCGAUGUGUUGCUGAGGAUCCAGAAAGAAGGCAACAUGCGAGUUUCCCUAUCCGACGGAGUCAUAAGGGCACUGCUCAUAGAUGUCUUCGGUGCCGCACUUGACACCACAACUACUAUUCUACAAUGGGCGAUGGCUGAACUAAUGUCAAACCCAAGGGUCAUGCAGCGGGUGCAAUCCGAGGCAGAUUAUGUUCUCGCAAGACAUGCCACGGUACAAGAGGCAUCACUAAAGAGCAUGCACUACCUCAAGGUGGUUAUUAAAGAGACCUUGCGACUACACCCUCCUGCGUCGCUCUUCCCUAAAGUGGACCCGAAGUAUUGGUAUGAGACAAAAAGGUUCAUGCCAGAGAGGUUUGAAGGCAAUGGUGUUGCCGACUUUAGAGGUUUGGACUUCGAGUUCACUCCUUUCGGUGUUGGGCGGAGGAUUUGCCCUGGGAUUGAUUUUGCAUAUGCAAACGUUGAGAUUGCAAUGGCUAGCCUUAUUUACCAUUUUGACUGGGAGCUGCCUCCCAGAGUGGACCCAAGGGAAAUAGACAUGACAGAGGUGUUUGGAGCAACCGUUCGAAGGAAGGCCGAGCUAUUUCUGCAUCCCGUUCCUCGUAUCCCCCUGUAG